UACGGGGGGGGCAAGCGUUGUUCGGAAUUACUGGGCGUAAAGGGCGCGUAGGCGGUCUUUUAAGUCUUGUGUGAAAUCCCUCGGCUCAACUGAGGAACUGCACGGGAUACUGGAAGACUUGAGUUCGGGAGAGGGAAGCGGAAUUCCGGGUGUAGCGGUGAAAUGCGUAGAUAUCCGGAGGAACACCGGUGGCGAAGGCGGCUUCCUGGACCGAUUACUGACGCUGAGGCGCGAAAGCGUGGGGAGCAAACAGG
rnacentral:rRNA from 1 species